rnacentral:rRNA from 1 species
GUACACUCCUGCGGGAGGCAGCAGUGGGGAAUUUUGGACAAUGGGCGAAAGCCUGAUCCAGCAAUGCCGCGUGAGUGAAGAAGGCCUUCGGGUUGUAAAGCUCUUUUGUCAGGGAAGAAACGGUGAAAGCUAAUAUCUUUUGCUAAUGACGGUACCUGAAGAAUAAGCACCGGCUAACUACGUGCCAGCAGCCGCGGUAAUACGUAGGGUGCAAGCGUUAAUCGGAAUUACUGGGCGUAAAGCGUGCGCAGGCGGUUUUGUAAGUCUGAUGUGAAAUCCCCGGGCUCAACCUGGGAAUUGCAUUGGAGACUGCAAGGCUAGAAUCUGGCAGAGGGGGGUAGAAUUCCACGUGUAGCAGUGAAAUGCGUAGAUAUGUGGAGGAACACCGAUGGCGAAGGCAGCCCCCUGGGUCAAGAUUGACGCUCAUGCACGAAAGCGUGGGGAGCAAACAGGAUUAGAAACCCGUGUAGUCCCAUG